GGCCAGACUCCUACGGGAGGCAGCAGUGGGGGAUAUUGCACAAUGGGGGAAACCCUGAUGCAGCGACGCCGCGUGGGCGAAGAAGUAUUUCGGUAUGUAAAGCCCUAUCAGCAGGAAAGAAAAUGACGGUACCUGACUAAGAAGCCCCGGCUAACUACGUGCCAGCAGCCGCGGUAAUACGUAGGGGGCAAGCGUUAUCCGGAUUUACUGGGUGUAAAGGGAGCGUAGACGGCAGUGCAAGUCCGGAGUGAAAGCCCGGGGCUCAACCCUGGGACUGCUCUGGAAACUGUAAAGCUGGAGUGCGGGAGGGGCAGGCGGAAUUCCUGGUGUAGCGGUGAAAUGCGUAGAUAUUAGGAGGAACACCAGUGGCGAAGGCGGCCUACUGGACGGUGACUGACGCUGAGGCUCGAAAGCGUGGGGAGCAAACAGGAUUAGAUACCCCCGUA
rnacentral:rRNA from 1 species